CACAUUACUUCACUUGUUCCCUUCCAGGGUCCGCCUAGGCCUGUUUAGUUGUAACCGCUUCCCUAACCUUAUUUCUAGAAGUGUUUAAUUUACGGGGGAAGGACGCUAGUAUGCCUGGAGAUUAAUAUGAGCAUUCUUGAAGACAUAUGGGAGAGUUUUCUUGACUUCAGCACUAGUUGGAGGGUCCAUGCUGACAUGUUAUAACCAAGGGGCAAAGGCAGUUGAUAGGAAGUUUUCCACAGGAGGCUUUGAACAUAGAACCUGAGUAUGUGAAGCUGAAGAACCUCCAGUGUUUGAAACUGUUGCCUGGGAAUGGCUGGUGAAGACACAACAGGCUACUAAAGGCUCAGCAGGUACUGUGAUGAUUUGUGAAUUUUGGAGAUUAGUGACGAUGCUGUAAUUGCUUAUAGUUCUGAGUCAUAUGUAUAAGUGGUCAAUAAAUCCAUUCACCAUCUCAGACCCUGUCUA